AGAGUGCUGGUUUCUGACACGCAGGCCCUGAGGCAAGUCUUGCUGUGGGAAGAUAAACAGGUUUUUAUUACCUCCACCUUAGGACAAAGCCUCAACCUCUGGCUGCUGUAAGAGGCUCAUUCCCAGGAAGAAAAAUGACCUCCAGCUGCAGUAGGUGUAUGCGACACCUCCCUGGCUGGACUGUGAGCUCCUUGAAGCUUUGUUACCUGUGGUGGGGAAGAGUAAGAGAGAAUUCCGUCCAAUGUCAUGAUCCCAACGAGGAAGCAGUACAGAGAUCAAGCCCUGGAAAUCUUUCAAUCCAGCAUUUCAGCAAGAAACAAACCACAGGGCAACAGUGUAAGAGGAUGCUGACCACCAGGCUUUGACUGAGAACUAAUGGGGGACAGGACCUCUCACUCUGGCCUGGACCUCUUCCAGCCUUGGUUUGCUUUGAGUGUUGGUGGCCUCUGCAAAGAUUUUCAACCCCACCAUUCACAUCUCUGAAUCUCCCACAGCAUCAAGCAGAGCAGCAGGACGAAGUACACACUCGUAAAUAAUUGAAAAGAAUCCCUAUAAAGUUUGAACUCAUUCAUUGAACACUGCCUAGGAUUAUUAGUAUA